rnacentral:rRNA from 1 species
CCUACGGGAGGCAGCAGUGGGGAAUAUUGCGCAAUGGGCGAAAGCCUGACGCAGCGACGCCGCGUGAGGGAUGAAGGUCUUCGGAUCGUAAACCUCUGUCAGCAGGGAAGAACGGUCACUGUGCUAAUCAGCAGUGAAUUGACGGUACCUGCAAAGGAAGCACCGGCUAACUCCGUGCCAGCAGCCGUGGUAAUACGGAGGGGGCGAGCGUUAAUCGGAAGUACGGGGCGUAAAGCGCUCGUAGGCGGUAUGGCAAGUCAAGGGUGAAAUCCCCGCGCUGAACGUGGGAACUGCCGUUGAAACGGGCAGACUGGAGUGUGUGAGAGGAUAGUGGAAUUCCAGGUGUAGGAGUGAAAUGCGUAGAUAUCGGGAGGAACAUCAGUGGCGAAGGCGACUAUCUGGAACAUAACUGACGCUGAGGAGCGAAAGCGUGGGUAGCAAACAGGAUUAGAUACCCCUGUAGUC